UGACUUGGUGGGUUAAGAUUAAAGUUGUACAAAGAACACUUCAGUCAUUUAUACCUAAUUAAGAUGUGUGGCCUCCAAAAUGGUCAUGAUUGAUUGCAUUGUAUAUAUACAAGAAGACAAUUUUCAAACGAACACGAAGAUAGGUAUAUUUAAGUAUUGUCUCUUGCCCGUGAUCAAAAAGUAAAAAAAUGCGAAACUCCUCUAUCAGAAAACAUGGCCCCUUAAAAAAGGCAUACAACUGAGAGCAGAAGUCUUAAAUCUUUUUUUCAAUAACUUUUAAAUUCUUAUAGAAUUGUUAUGUCUUUGCUAUAUCAUAUUUGUUUUUGCAUUUGUUUUUUUU
rnacentral:lncRNA from 1 species